rnacentral:rRNA from 1 species
AGCGAACGCUGGCGGCAGGCCUAACACAUGCAAGUCGAACGAACCCUUCGGGGUUAGUGGCGGACGGGUGAGUAACACGUGGGAACGUGCCUUUAGGUUCGGAAUAACUCAGGGAAACUUGUGCUAAUACCGAAUGUGCCCUUCGGGGGAAAGGUUUAUCGCCUUUAGAGCGGCCCGCGUCUGAUUAGCUAGUUGGUGAGGUAAUGGCUCACCAAGGCUACGAUCAGUAGCUGGUCUGAGAGGAUGACCAGCCACAUUGGGACUGAGACACGGCCCAAACGCCUACGGGAGGCAGCAGUGGGGAAUCUUGCGCAAUGGGCGAAAGCCUGACGCAGCCAUGCCGCGUGGAUGAUGAAGGUCUUAGGAUUGUAAAAUCCUUUCACCGGUGAAGAUAAUGACUGUAGCCGGAGAAGAAGCCCCGGCUAACUUCGUGCCAGCCGCCGCGGUAAAAC